GUUUGCGCAGAGUUUAUUUUCUCAGUCUCCCCUCUGCCCCUUCGAGCACAUCUGUUUCUGUCAUCGCCUUUUGUUUGUCUGUGUGUGUCCUCCCUCCCUCCCUCCCUCUCUCCCUCUCUCCCUCUCUCCCUCCCCAUUUCUCUCUUUCUCUCUCACCAUCUCCCGUGGCGCGACACUCACGCUCGCCGGUUUUACAGACACGGACACACGCCGCACAUCGUAUACCUUGUGCUCGCGUGCCACCAUCUUCUGCCCUCUCUCUUUCUCUGUAUGUACGCAUGGUUGCUUGCCUGAACAAGUGUCUUCCAUAGUUAACCACUGCCGCAGCCUCCCCCUGUUCCUCGCUUGCGACGCCCCUCUUGUCUGCCAUCCUUUCUCUCCCUCUCCCCCCCACUCCCGGCUCAAAAAAAAACUUCUUGGCAAUGGAGGCGUCAGCACCCGGCAAGGUUCUCAUCCUUGGUAGCUACCUUAUUGUGGAGUCGUGCACCCCGGCCAAUGUCGGCGUCUCGAUCGGCGUGAACGCGCGCUUCACGACGCGCAUCGUCAAGGCGGAGUCCACAACGGCCGGCGCUUCGGGGAAAACGACGAUGCACAUGAAUUCGCCGCAGUUCCGUCAGUCAUUCUGCUUCGUCGCCGAUACGUCAGCGCCCGGCAUCGUCGCGGUGAAGCAGACGGAGGGGUCGGGGAGCCCGUUUAUCUUCAACGCUGUCCUGUACUCCGUGGCAGCCGCCCAGUCGCUGGGCAGCAGCACCGAUGGCGAGAUUUGGGUGGAGCUCCUGGCUGACAACAACUUUUACAGUCAACGCAACUAUUUAGAGAGUCAAGGGAAGGACGUGAACGUGGCCAACCUGCGCGCCCUGCCACCCCACCUGCCGCUGGUCGGUGCUGUCUCCAAGACCGGCUUGGGGUCGUCUGCGGCCAUGACGACCAGCAUCGUGGCGUGCCUGUGCCACCACUUCAACGCGGACGGGUGCUCACACGAGUACGUCCACCGUAUCGCCCAGAUUGCUCACAGUGUCACACAGGGCAAGAUCGGUAGCGGCUUCGACGUGUACACCGCCGUCUACGGCACGUGCGCCUACCGCCGCUUUCCUGCGAGCCGCGUAUCGAUGAUGAUGGACAGUGCUCAGCCGCCGAGCUCGGUGGAGGUAGAGACACUGAGGCGGUGUGUGGACAUGAAAGAGGUGUGGGUGCCGCCCGAGCCGUUCCGCCUACCGCCUGGUGUGAAGCUGGUCCUCGGAGACGUGCACCAAGGUGGCUCCAGCACUCCUGGCAUGGUCGCAAAGAUCGUGGCGUGGCGCAGAUCUGUCGCUGACACCCCAGACAACCUUUGGGAGCAGCUGCGUCGCAACAACGAGGCGUACAUCGCCGCUCUGCGUCGCAUGAUCGACGAGGCGGCAGCGAAGCCGGACGCCUACGCGGCUUCUAUGGCAGCGCUCCAGCAGGUGCCCUCGCUGCCGCUGUUCAAGGCAGACGGCGAGUCGAUGCAGUGCAUCGUCGAGGCGUCCCGCUGCGCAGCCCGUAGCCGUGCCCUACUGCGGGACAUGGGCUUGGCCGCGGAGGUGAAGGUGGAGCCUGUAGAGCUGACCGAUCUCUUGGACGACACGGCGACUCUGCCGGGUGUGUUCGCGGUUGGAUGCCCUGGCGCCGGCGGAUACGACGCCGUGUUCGCCCUCGUGCUCGGCGACGAAUGCGCCGCUGCUGUGGAGGUCUUUUGGGAGCAUUACACUAAAAUGAACGUCUGCCCGCUCCUGGUGCGUGAAGACCCGAGCGGCCUGCUCGUGCAGCCCCCACCGUGAUGCUGAGGCAGCAGAACAUGAACGCUUUUUAGUACCGGCACGUCUGUGCGGCAUGCUGUCGUCGGCAGAGAGUUGGAUACAGCAAGAGAUUGACCUGCCUCUCGCCCCUCUUUGUCUGUCCGAGUGCCGCGUAUAGCACAGCACACGUUCAGCAACAAUACGACCGGCACGGCGCCGCUGUAAGACGGUUUCGCCUGUGCUCUUAACCGUUUGUACAUCUGUCUCUCUGGAAGCACGUGUAUGCGUAGUUGUUGUUGUCUCCUAAGGCUACACGAUAACGUACACGUGCAUCCGCGGAAGACCGAUUACCACUCAGGUUUUACUGCCUUCGUUACAAC
rnacentral:misc_RNA from 1 species